rnacentral:tRNA from 1 species
GCCUGGGUGGCUCAGUCGGUUAAGCAUCUGACUUCGGCUCAGGUCAUGAUCUCGCGGUCCGUGAGUUCAAGCCCCGCAUCAGGCU